rnacentral:rRNA from 1 species
AGACUUGCUCUUAUGUUCUGCGGCGGAGGGUGAGUACACGUGGGUACCUGCCCAUAAGACUGGGAUAACUCCGGGAAACCGGGGCUAAUACCGGAUAACAUUUUGAACUGCAUGGUUCGAAAUUGAAAGGCGGCUUCGGCUGUCACUUAUGGAUGGACCCGCGUCGCAUUAGCUAGUUGGUGAGGUAACGGCUCACCAAGGCAACGAUGCGUAGCCGACCUGANAGGGUGAUCGGCCACACUGGGNACUGANACACGGCCCAGACUCCUACGGGAGGCAGCAGUAGGGAAUCUUCCGCAAUGGACGAAAGUCUGACGGAGCAACGCCGCGUGAGUGAUGAAGGCUUUCGGGUCGUAAAACUCUGUUGUUAGGGAAGAACAAGUGCUAGUUGAAUAAGCUGGCACCUUGACGGUACCUAACCAGAAAGCCACGGCUAACUACGUGC